UUACACUGCUUGAAUGAAAGAGCUCGAGGCACAUAAGGCUGAAUCCAACGAUUAACAGCAUGAUGUACAACACUUCAGAUACUACUGACAGCCACAGGACACCUGUAAAGUACAAGAGGAGCAACCAGUCACUUAUUUGCCUGAUUGCUAGUGCUUCCUCCCCAUCUUCCAGUGCAGAGGCUUCAAAAAGCUUCAAAACCCAUUUUAUACAAAGGAUGAACUGCAGUUGUCAUUCACUCACCUUACAGUGGCUUAGCACUAAAUUGAUGUUUUCACAGAACUGUCUGUCACCACUCCAAGAACUCUAUCCUGAGGGGUAAAAGCUAAUUCAGAAGCCAUCACUAUAUUUGUAAAGUGCAAUGUCUGUACCUCACCAGAGGAUGGCCAAAACUCCUGGAGACAGGAAGCACUGCCACGCGCACAGAUGUCUCAGUUCUCAGCGUCCCUCUCGAGCUACUCUGACAGAUUUGCUCACAGCAUGUUUAUAUGCCAGUGUGACGAAAAUACUUCUGACUGCAGAAUUCUGCUGCAGUGAAUCUGAAGCCCUAUUACUGGAAACCUUUAACAGCUACCCAACUCUCCAGCAACUUUGCCCAAGACAGCCAAAGGGGAAUGGCAUUUCCUACUACAGAAAGAAAACAGAACACUCUGAGAGCUGGAGACACAUGACGCCUUUUAGAUACAUGCUCGGCUUGGGGACCCUCUGCGUGCCCUCACACCAGUGGGUUGUGAUAAAAGCUGUUGUGGAGAAGAGGAGAGCCAUCAGAUUCAGACUCACUGCUAGCAGGGCUCUGCAUCUUCGAUUUGUCUUCAUGCUGUGAAGGAAACGCUGCAGCCAGACUCCCAUUCUUCUCUUCACUUGAAAUCCUGCCUUUGUACGUUAAAGGAGCAGCUGCAGGCGCGGGAGUGCGGCCGUCCUCUGGUAGUCGGUGUUCUUCAGCACGCUGACAGGAUCAGAGAGGGUCUGCCUCACGAAGAGCACCAAGAGCAAGUCAACAUCUGCUCGGGGACCACACAUGAUCCCCAGGGGCUCUGCAGCUUCCUCUGCUGGGAGACACCUGCAGGCUGCAGGACUCGCUGUACUCUGCUUGUAGUAUGAUGAGGCAGGAAAAAACUCGUCAGAAGCCAGUCAGCAGGGACGGCUGUGGAGCUGCCGCGCUCCUCGGCAGAGCUCGGGGACAACUGCAUCGUGCUGACAGCCGAGCUAGAUGAGGGGGAGCAUCACGUCUUAAUUCCAAAAAGGAUCAUCAUCUGUAGCUGAGAAAUGCAUUGUCUACAUACCAUAGGGUAGGGAUUUGACCAGAGGAGGAGGGAUGGAGCAGCACUUCAGCUUUUCUUCUCUGGGCUAAUGAGCAGCAAACUGAAGGGUUGAUUCUGCUGUGAGUAUCCUUGUAUAAUUCUCUGUCUUCAGGGGUUUGCAGUGCAAGUCAGCAAAGCCUCAGAGUUCAGGUUUGAAUGUCUGCAGCGAGCAGAACUUGUGUCCUUCACAAUAGCGGGUGGAGCCCCUUUCACAGGCUAUUAUCUCCACACAGAGCACUCACAGUUGUUUGCAGUGGGUCCGCAGGACAUUUCUGGUUUGUGCAGGCAGCAAGAACUAAUUUGAGCAAACACAGGCCUUACUUGCCAGGUGGUGGGGAGCACUGUGUCAUAUCCCCUUUCCAAAGAGAAGUAUGUUGUCCUGUCCUGUUGGCUGCCUGACUCUCAGAGCAGACGACCUCAUUCCCCAUUUGCUCAGAGCUACCGGGUGAAUGCUGGGUGCUGUGAGGAGACCAGGGCACCCAGUGAUGGUGGUGGUGCCAUCUGUACACAGGCCUGUUGUGGACACAAGGUACAGCCCUUGUAUCCAAGAGCUGAGGUUGGCCACAUUUGUCCCAUAAUGGCUCUGCAGCCCUUGCUGAUGAGUGUAAUUUUAUGCAGGGAGGAAACUGCAUAUACCAGCUAGGCCUUGGACUGAGUGACACUUCCUGCCAGCCUUGUUUGGACACCCUGUAAGGCCCGUGGAGCUGUUUGUAGACUCUCAGAGCAGUUGUAGCAGAUGGACUAAAGCAAGCCCUGGAAGUAGCUGUGCUGCCACACAGGCUUACACUAAGAGAGGUGCCAAUACUCUCAUUGCACCAUGUAUGUCUCAGUUAGCACACUGACUCAACAUUCAAAGCUUGUCCUGUGCCUUAACACCCUCAGAAUGGAAUAUGGUGGUAGCUGCUCCAGCUCCUUGAAGAAAGACAGGAAGGACCAGGUUAAGUUUCUCCUUUCACACUUUUUCUUUUAAAAGUAAGCUAGGAAGUUCUUAGAAAAUGCAGCUUCAUGAGAAUACUUGCAAGGUUAAUAGAAUGGCUUGGCAGAGCAGGGGUGGGCCUUCAUUUUGCCCUCUCUUGCCUGUACACGAUGUCAUCUACUACUACCUCAACACCAGAUUUUUUCCAGUGGCCUGUGCUAGAGGAGUGCUCCUGUAUGCAGGCCUCCUUCUGCAGUAGGAAUUGCACCAUACAACUCCAUGUUCCAGUCCUUUCAUCAUUUCAUCUUGCAGCCAGGUGAUCAACAUUACUUAGCUGGUUUUAAUGGCAUGCAAGAAAUACAGAUGAUAGCUAUUUAGAUGACCACAGGAUUAUUAUUUCAAUUCCUUUUAUAUUGAAGGACAUUUCAUUUAGAAAUGCAUAUAGAUGUUUCCGUGUUCAAAGGCUCAUCUGCCUGCUGAGAGAAAUAAACAGUGCACUUUAAACUUUGACAGCAUGUCUUCACAAGAUAGCUAGUGCUAUUCAGGAUUAUCUUUCAAGUGGUCGCCAGCACCUAACUCAUCACACUUUUCCAAAUGUGAAUACAGGUUAUUUUUACAGGUCUUUUCUCACCAAUCCCCUCUGUUUACUGCUCUAUAACUUGUGUUUUCUGGUCCUGGCAUCAACUUCUGGAUACUCUUUGGUGCCCAUCCCCCAGGGAGAUGAGCAUCCAAUUUUUUGGCUGUGAUUAUUUUGUUUUAAAUACUUUUGAGAUUUUGUUUUUACUCCUAAUCCUAACAGAGAUUUCUAUUUCAGUUCUUUGUUACUUUCUUUAUUGUUGUUCUUUGGGAAGACAGGUCUGUCAAGAACAAACAUAGUGUCAGUAUAGAAAAAAAAGCAAAAUAAAGCAGAGAUCCCUUUCCCUUUCCCACUUUCCCUUUCCCUUUCCCUUCCAUUUGUGAUAUAGAGCUUUUAAAAUCUUAAGCAUUUAAAGAUAUUUAGCACAAAGUAAAGUUAAAGUCAAAGAAUCUUUUAACAUGUUUUUUUUCUCUUUACUAACAAAAGUCAGAAGUCAGCUUUUUUUUUUUUUUUUUUUUUUUUUUUUUUUUUUAAUUAGACCAGACUGUAUGUAUGUGUUGGGAUUACUUUUUUCUUUUUUUUCUUUUUUUUUUUUUUUAAAGAGGAAACUAGUCUGCUAUACUGAUGCUAUAAAGCUCCAAAGAUUUCUCUUUAUAUAAUCUCUGUUUAUCAGAUUUGGUGUGUAUAAAAAUGGAAAGGGUAAUGGAAAUGUUACAGAAUGCAGUUCAGAUGCCUGGAUUAACUUGUAUUUGUGUGGUAUUAUCUUUCAUAGUAAAGCAGAAGGGUUUGAACAUUAUAGAGAAGUAGUUUUCGUAUUGUAGCUAUAAGAACUUUAAAAAUAUUUUUGCAGCAAUAGCUCUUCUCUGAUUUUGUGAGAAAAAAUACCUUCCUGAGUUACAGCUAUCCCACUUUUCCUUUACUAUUUCUUAUGAAAUCAGUGCAAAUUGUUAUUAUUCAGUAUUUACUUGAGCAUAAAAAGAAUUUCCCAGAGGACUUAAAAUAAUGAUAGUAUUUGCAAAGGAACUCUUUCAAUCAGGCUCUGUUUUUCACUAGUAGGAAACAGAAGCAGCAUUCAGUAAAAUGAGAGGACUUGGGUUCCCUAGUGAUGAUGGGGGGUUUGUUGUGCAUAGUUUGUUUACUUUAUACCAGUAGUGUCAACUGCAUGGGAUAAUAUGCUGUUUUUAAAUCAACAGUUUUUUUUUUUAAAUGUAGUUUGUCUUCAUAUUGUCAUUUCUUACAGGUCUGUCCUUCUGGGCAGUUCUCUUUUAUUUGUAAUGUUUUUUUAAGCAUCCACUGGACUGGGCUUCCCAGUUCUUCUUUCCACCUUGGAAUGGACCCCUCCUAGUAGUUCAUCUUUUCUCCUCUGGUUCAGAAUCUCCUUUUCUAGUCUAUAUUUUCUUUCUUUAGCCUAUUUAUCAGCAUAACUCAUCCUUUCCUCGUUCUCUUACUGUGGCUGAAAUGAAUUGUUGGUCCUCUCCAGUAUUCUACCCUUGUCCACACUUUGUCCAGCAAAAUGGCAUUUUUUUCUUCACCGUAGUCGAUCAACAGAAUUGACUUAUAUAAUAUAUAAUAAUAUAUAUUAUAUAUAUGUAUAUAUAUAUAUAUAUAUAUAUAAAUUAAAUAUAUUUAUAUAAAUAUAAAUUUGGAGAAGAAUGUUGGGAUGAAAGUACUCUACAUUCUUCCCCCAGAUCACUACUAUGUAUGCCAUCAACUAUGCAUAUUUUUCCUUAUUCUUCCAUUUCAUAUCUAGGCUACCUUUUGCUCCUUUUACCUCGUUUUUGUCUUUUUGUUCAGUACCCACCUGACCCAAAAUAGUCUGUGUUCAGCAAUGAUGUGCUUAGCUCUCAAAACCUAUAGGCUGAGCUAUAUAAUUCCGUCGAUCUAAGAGAUGAUGCUAAGAGAAAAUACUGCCUUUUUUUUUUUUUUUUUUUUUUUAACACAAAUUUAGCAGUCAGUAAAUGGAAAGUCCCACAUCCCACAAUGGUAUACGUGCAGGUGGGCUGAAUAUUGAUACCAUGUGAAAUCUUGUUCUUCAGUUUGACUUCUUACUUUACUAAGGAUGCAUCUCAUGUACAUGGGGGUAUUGAGUUGAGCACAACAAGGUUUCUAAAGAAAAUUUUCCAGUUCCUAAGCUGAGCAGGUAAAAAAAUCAUUUCUGAUAGCAUGUAGCAAAGACCUUAGCAGUCCUGACAGAAAGGUCUCAUAAAAAACAUACAUCAGAAUCAACA